rnacentral:snRNA from 1 species
AGAUGUGAGGGCAAUCUGGCUGCGACAUCCGUCACCCCACCGAUGGCCAGGGUUGAUUCGCGGAUCUGGCUGCCUGGGUGGUGUCCCCUUCCUCCCUCGCCACUCCAUGUGCAUCCGUCGUCAAAGAGGACGGACUUCCCUGGUAGAGGAGGACCAGUCUUCCUUCAAGGGUACACAAGUAGCUGCACUCCCCUGCUAGAACCUCCAAACAAGCUCCCAAGGGAGCUAGAGAAUGAGAUUCAGCGGUCCGGGGGCCAGACCACCCCCAGGGACUUCCAGCAGAGGCCCCCCUGCCACCACCCGUGGCUGCUGAAGCUGCCU